rnacentral:rRNA from 1 species
UCGGGAAUUUUGCGCAAUGGACGAAAGUCUGACGCAGCAACGCCGCGUGAGGGAUGAAGGCCUUCGGGUUGUAAACCUCUUUUCUCAGGGACGAUAAUGACGGUACCUGAGGAAUAAGCCACGGCUAACUACGUGCCAGCAGCCGCGGUAAUACGUAGGUGGCGAGCGUUGUCCGGAUUUACUGGGCGUAAAGAGCGCGCAGGCGGUCGGCCAAGUCGAGUGUGAAAGCCCCCGGCUCAACUGGGGAGGGUCACUCGAUACUGGUCGACUCGAAGGCGGGAGAGGGAAGCGGAAUUCCCGGUGUAGUGGUGAAAUGCGUAGAUAUCGGGAGGAACACCAGUGGCGAAGGCGGCUUCCUGGCCCGUUCUUGACGCUGAGGCGCGAAAGCUAGGGGAGCGA